rnacentral:rRNA from 1 species
ACUCCUACGGGAGGCAGCGGUGGGGAAUAUUGCGCAAUGGACGAAAGUCUGACGCAGCGACGCCGCGUGUGGGAUGAAGCCUUUCGGGGCGUAAACCACUGUUGCCCGGGACGAACAUCCUUUUUCGAGAGGACUGACGGUACCGGGUGAGGAAGCACCGGCUAACUCUGUGCCAGCAGCCGCGGUAAUAC